GUUGCAACUGAGUUGGAUGAAGAACUGAAUGCAAAUUCUCAAAGAAGUGCUGAUGUGGACUGGCUCGAAUUAUAGUUGCAAGAGUUGAAUGCAAAUAUUCAAACACUGCUUCCCGGAGACUGAAGACUCCACAUAACAUAUACUGUACAAAAGACUAUAAUGAAAAAGUCUAAUGGCAACCUCUUUGAAUAGAAUGAUGGUGUUCUAACAUCUUGUGAGGUCCUCCUGUCCAUCAAAAGCAAAACUGAGUGUGCCAUUCAUCCGGCAAAAUAUG